AUGUUGUGAUGUGGGCAUUUGAGAAGUAGCUCAUUAAAGUGCUCUCAUGCUUCAAAGAAAAGUCUGUCUUUUUGUUAAAACGUUAGAAUCUCCAUUCUAAGUUA